GAUGAAGAACGUAGCGAAAUGCGAUAAGUAAUGUGAAUUGCAGAAUUUAGUGAAUCAUCGAAUCUAUGAACGCACAUUGCGCCCGCUAGUAUUCUGGCGGGCAUGCCUGUUCGAGCGUCAUUUCAACCAUCAAGCCCCCGGGCUUGUGUUGGGGACCUGCGGCUGCCGCAGGCCCUGAAAAGCAGUGGCGGGCUCGCUGUCACACCGAGCGUAGUAGAUUUUAUCUCGCUCUGGGCGUGCUGCGGGUUCCGGCCGUUAAACCACCCUUUUAACCCAAGGUUGACCUCGGAUCAGGUAGGAAGACCCGCUGAACUUAAGCAUAUCAAUAAGCGGAGGA
rnacentral:misc_RNA from 1 species